UGGGGAAUAUUGCACAAUGGAGGGAACUCUGAUGCAGCGACGCCGCGUGAGUGAUGAAGGAAUUCGUUUCGUAAAACUCUGUCCUAUGGGAAGAAAAGGACUGUACCAUAGGAGAAAGCUCCGGCUAAAUACGUGCCAGCAGCCGCGGUAAUACGUAUGGAGCGAGCGUUGUCCGGAAUUAUUGGGCGUAAAGGGUGCGCAGGCGGCUCUACAAGUUGGAUGUGAAAUAUUGUGGCUCAACCACAAACGUGCAUCCAAAACUGCAAAGCUUUAGUUCAGGAUAGGUACGUGGAAUUCCUGGUGUAGCGGUGGAAUGCGUAGAUAUCAGGAAGAAAACCGGUGGCGAAGGCAACUUACUGGACUUAAACUGACGCUAAGGCACGAAAGCGUGGGGAGCAAACAGG
rnacentral:rRNA from 1 species